rnacentral:rRNA from 1 species
UGCAGUCGAGCGGUAGAGAGAAGCUUGCUUCUUUUGAGAGCGGCGGACGGGUGAGUAAUGCCUAGGAAUCUGCCUGGUAGUGGGGGAUAACGUUCGGAAGCGGACGCUAAUACCGCAUACGUCCUACAGGAGAAAGCAGGGGACCUUCGGGCCUUGCGCUAUCAGAUGAGCCUAGGUCGGAUUAGCUAGUUGGUGAGGUAAAGGCCUACCAAGGCGACGAUCCGUAGCGGGUCUGAGAGGAUGAUCCGCCACACUGGGACUGAGACACGGCCCAGACUCCUACGGGAGGCAGCAGUGGGGAAUAUUGGACAAUGGGCGAAAGCCUGAUCCAGCCAUGCCGCGUGUGUGAAGAAGGUCUUCGGAUUGUAAAGCACUUUAAGUUGGGAGGAAGGGCAGUUACCUAAUACGUGAUUGUUUUGACGUUACCGACAGAAUAAGCACCGGCUAACUCUGUGCCAGCAGCCGCGGUAAU